UACGUAGGGUGCAAGCGUUGUCCGGAAUUAUUGGGCGUAAAGAGCUCGUAGGCGGUCUGUCGCGUCGGCUGUGAAAACUCGGGGCUCAACUCCGAGCUUGCAGUCGAUACGGGCAGGCUAGAGUUCGGCAGGGGAGACUGGAAUUCCUGGUGUAGCAGUGAAAUGCGUAGAUAUCAGGAGGAAUACCGAUGGCGAAGGCAGGUCUCUGGGCUGACACUGACGCUCAUGCACGAAAGCGUGGGGAGCAAACAGG
rnacentral:rRNA from 1 species